GGGGAGAGCAAAGCAAAAACACAGAUGGAUUAAAUAACUUCCUCACUACUGAGGCAUAGUUGUGCAAGUGACUUUUGUAUCCAUUAGGUUCUGACAAGAAAGCUUGAAAGGCUGGGGAGUUUGGGCUUUAUCCUUUGGAUAAUGAGGAACAAUCUGUGCUUUGGUUUUUGCUUUAAGGCAGGCAGAUGAACCCUGCCUGCACACAGUGACCCCUGGCAAUCAGAAGAAAUGAAGCAUGUGCUCUGCCCACCCAUAUGUGGAGAAAGGUUGGAGACACCUAUUCCAUCAGUUUUUUUUCCCCCCGCCAUCUUUCAAGCUCCAUUGCCACUGCUACAUUCCCAGCCAUGACCUGGAAUGGCACCAAGGAAAAAUAUAGAAUCAACUCCCACUUAUCCACUUCAGAGAUAUCUGGAUAAAGGGAAAUUAUUUGGAAAUCCAUAAGUUUGAAAAUCAACAACUAUCAUGAAAGCUUAAGCCUUCAUUUUUGAUGCCUCCAAUCUACUAGGUUUUGGUCGUGGUGAAGCCGUAAAGAAUGAGAGGAGCCGUGUGAGCUCAGUGGCACAGCAUGACCCCCCCACAAACGCCUACCCACCAAAAGAAAAAUAAAAGGAUCAUAAUUAGUUACCCAAGGAACUGCACUAUGUAAAUAUUUGAUAUUUUAUAUUUCUGCUAUGCGGGAAAUUUCAAUUUCAGGCAAUUUCACUGUUUUUGGGUGUCUGCUAUAUAAAAUUUUGUUUUGUAACUGAAGUAAUGAGGACAGUGCUUGAUUUUUAAAAACUUAGAAUCAAAAGACAGAAACAGAGAAGCAUAGAAUUCAUAAAAUACCCAAGAUUAUCUGUCUGAAAAUGUGUCAUGAGCCAAGUGUAGCUAGACAGGGCUAAAUCUGGUUCCUGUUAAUAAUCCUGUCAUCUUUUCCCUAAGCAACAGGGUUCAUGCUGCCCAUUCUUCCUGGAUUGUCCUCCCCCACCCCUGCACCCAUCCUCCAGAAAGCAUCUUGGCUUCUUUUUUUUUAGGAUUCUUUCUUGAUCCAUUGCUUGUCUGGGGUUCAUAUGCCCGCUGUCUCCUAGCUCCCUGUACUUACCCCUUGAGGCACACUGCUCACUUUAUAUUAGGAAUGCCUAAUUCUGUGUUUAUCUGAUUAUGAACCUGAGAUCCUUGAAGGGAGAAACUCUCCCUCUUUCUUUUUCUUUACCUUUCCAUGAGCUUCCCUGCUCAGAGACUGUUGCAUCAGUGAAUCUUAGUUGAAAGGGAAUCAUCAGGGCAUGUGAUAAGAACGUGAUCUGGUAGACAUGGAGGACCCAGAUCUCAGAGUCAGAGGUGGGAAACCCAGCUGUGGAUGGAGAUGGGAGGCCAGGCAUGCUGCUUUGUCAAGGUUGAAACAGAAGUGUCAUCCUUCACAGGAGGGCCUUUGUCCUCCAAAGACUGCAAUUCCUUAGUGAAAAGCUGAAAACAAAACUAUAUCAACUUGCUUCCCCGACUAUGAUAUUGCAAGAAAAUGGGAAAAAAUCAUUUUAAAAUAAAGGAAAGCCAAGAAGAAUGUGAAAAAAUAAACAAGAAGCCGGAGACUGGAGUGAGCAGGGGAAAAGAUCAUUUGCUCAUACUCUGUCACAUUUUUCUGCAAGUAUUGAUAAUGCAAUUCGUUAGGCUGAUGGGUUAAAUAUUCACCGUAGCAACAGGAGCACGGACGGUGCAUUAUAUGGAGAAAUUAUACAACAUAUUUACCAAAUGUAAUGGGCUGAUUCUAUCACCAUAUUUGUAGAACAUAAUAAAAUGUAUACUUGACUAA